GAGGACGAAUUUGUGGAGUUGGAUGAUAUUGCAAUCAGUCGCGCCCCACGGAUACGAACUUCUGGAUCUUUCGUGGAGGCAAACACAAUUAUGCUCCCAACUGAAGGCGUGAAGCAAGAGUACAGGCAACAACAGUUGCCACAUGGAUGGCUUCACAAAAUGGAUCCACUGGAGCCAGUUUUGUUGUUUGCAAAACCUCUGAUUACCGAGAAGUUGGCAGCUGCAGCUAUAGUACCGCCAUCAGAUUCUUCGACGAGGAAUAG
rnacentral:misc_RNA from 1 species